GAUGAAGAACGUAGCGAAAUGCGAUAAGUAGUGUGAAUUGCAGAAUUCAGUGAAUCAUCGAAUCUUUGAACGCACAUUGCGCCCUUUGGUAUUCCAAAGGGCAUGCCUGUUCGAGCGUCAUUUGUACCCUCAAGCUUUGCUUGGUGUUGGGCGUCUUGUCUCUAGCUUUGCUGGAGACUCGCCUUAAAGUAAUUGGCAGCCGGCCUACUGGUUUCGGAGCGCAGCACAAGUCGCACUCUCUAUCAGCAAAGGUCUAGCAUCCAUUAAGCCUUUUUUUCAACUUUUGACCUCGGAACAGGUAGGGAUACCCGCUGAACUUAAGCAUAUCAAUAAGCGGAGGA
rnacentral:misc_RNA from 1 species